GGGGCUGGGGCCUCUCGGGACUUAUCAGGGAAAGGCUGCUGCCAAAAGUGGAGGACUUAAAGCUGGAGGCCGCCCCAAAGACGGGGAAAUGAAGAAAACGCCGUUUCUGGAGCUCCCUGAGGACAAGGGGAGCAGCUUCUGUUCUCAGAAUCCCUGAGCUGCGCUCCUCUGGAGUGUCACCCCCAGGCUGGAGGAGAUGGCUGUGUCAGUUUCCCAUUGCUGCUCUAACAAAGCGUGCAGAUUCUGCAACUCAGAACCAGAGACGUCCAUUGCCCCACAGCUCCAGAGACUGGAAGUAUGGGAUCAAGGUGCUGGUUGGGCCCCCUUCCCUCAGGCAAUGCUAGGGAAGGAUCUCUCCUGGCUUCGGGCGGUUCCUUGGGGUGUGUGGCAUACCUGCCCCUUGCCCUCCCCCAACACCUGUCUUCACAAGACCCUCUCCCUGUGAAGCUCAUUGUCCACAUUUCCCCUUUUUAUUUGGCAACCAGUCAUAUGGGAUUACGGCAUACCCUAAUUACCUCAUUUUAACUUGAUUAACCUCUGCAAAGACCCUAUCUCCAAUGAAAGUCACGUUUCUGGGUACUGGGUGUUAGGGCUUAAACAUAUCUUUUUGGAGGAAGACGCAAUUCAACCCAUAACCACAGUCCAUCCCUGAACUACAUGCUGCAGAGGGAGAGACCUGGUUGAUUGGCUUAGGUCAUCUGAGAGGGAUGCAUGUGGGGCAGUGGUUCGCAGGGCCCACACUCUCCUCGCAGGUACUGGGAGAGUGACAGGAGCCCAGCACCUGGCAUAGAGAAGGCUCUCAGAGUCUGGACUAGAGACUACAUAUUAGCUGUGUAACUUGGAGGAGCGUACUUACUCUCCCUAAACUUCAGCCGCAAAAUGGAGAUGACGCUACAUGCCUGGAAGGGUGGCUGUACCAACCCAGCAAGACAUCAGGCCUGGAGUAAGUGCUUAAUAAAUGGAAUUGUCCCUGGUAAAAAAAAAAAAAAAAAAAAAAAAAAAAAAAAAAAAAAAAAAAAAAAAAAAAAAAAA
rnacentral:lncRNA from 1 species